AGCGAACGCUGGCGGCAGGCUUAACACAUGCAAGUCGAACGGGCAUCUUCGGAUGCUAGUGGCAGACGGGUGAGUAACACGUGGGAACGUACCUUUCGGUUCGGAAUAAUACAGGGAAACUUGUACUAAUACCGGAUACGCCCUUCGGGGGAAAGAUUUAUCGCCGAUAGAUCGGCCCGCGUCUGAUUAGCUAGUUGGUGAGGUAAUGGCUCACCAAGGCGACGAUCAGUAGCUGGUCUGAGAGGAUGAUCAGCCACACUGGGACUGAGACACGGCCCAGACUCCUACGGGAGGCAGCAGUGGGGAAUAUUGGACAAUGGGCGAAAGCCUGAUCCAGCCAUGCCGCGUGUGUGAUGAAGGCCUUAGGGUUGUAAAGCACUUUUGUCCGGGAAGAUAAUGACUGUACCGGAAGAAUAAGCCCCGGCUAACUUCGUGCCAGCCGCCGCCGUAAAAC
rnacentral:rRNA from 1 species